GACGAACGCUGGCGGCGUGCCUAAUACAUGCAAGUAGGACGCAGUUGCGAACGGGUGAGUAACGCGUAGGUAACUACCUAUUAGAGGGGGAUAACUAUUGGAAACGAUAGCUAAUACCGCAUACUAGUAGAUGGACCUGUGUUGUAUGAGCUAGUAGGUAGGGUAAUGGCCUACCUAGGCAAAGAUACAUAGCCUACCUGAGAGGGUGGUCGGCCACAAUGGGCAUGAGACACGGCCCAGACGCCUACGGGGGGAAGCAGUAUGGAAUAUUCGGCAAUGGGGGGAAGCCCGACCGAGCCAAGCCGACUUAGUGAAGAAGGUUUUCGGAUCGUAAAGCUCUGUUGUUAAGGAAGCGGUACUUAACCAGAAAGGGACGGCUAACUACGUGCCAGCAGCCGCGGUAAUAC
rnacentral:rRNA from 1 species